rnacentral:rRNA from 1 species
GAUAAGGUUAAGUGAAUAAGGGCGCACGGUGGAUGCCUUGGCACUAGGAGCCGAUGAAGGACGGGACUAACACCGAUAUGCUUUGGGGAGCUGUAAGUAAGCUAUGAUCCAGAGAUUUCCGAAUGGGGGAACCCAAUAUCUUUUAUAGGAUAUUACUUUUCAGUGAAUACAUAGCUGAUUAGAGGUAGACGCAGAGAACUGAAACAUCUUAGUACCUGCAGGAAGAGAAAGAAAAUUCGAUUCCCUGAGUAGCGGCGAGCGAAACGGGAAGAGCCCAAACCAACAAGCUUGCUUGUUGGGGUUGUAGGACUCCAAUAUGGUAGUCUGUUAGUAUAGUUGAAGGAUUUGGAAAAUUCCGCUAAAGAGGGUGAAAGCCCCGUAGACGAAAUGCUGACAACACCUAGGAGGAUCCUGAGUACGGCGGAACACGAGAAAUUCCGUCGGAAUCCGCGGGGACCAUCCCGCAAGGCUAAAUACUCCCUAGUGACCGAUAGUGAACCAGUACCGUGAGGGAAAGGUGAAAAGCACCCCGGAAGGGGAGUGAAAUAGAUCCUGAAACCGUGUGCCUACAACAAGUCAAAGCUCGUUAAUGAGUGAUGGCGUGCCUUUUGUAGAAUGAACCGGCGAGUUACGAUUGCAUGCGAGGUUAAGUCGAAGAGACGGAGCCGCAGCGAAAGCGAGUCUGAAUAGGGCGAAUGAGUAUGUA